CGGCGCUGCCCCGCGGCCGCCGGAUACGCCGCCUCCAUUCACCGGAGCCCCGCGAGGGGUGCGGGGGGGUGGCGUCCCGGCCCGGCGCUGCCCCCCGGCCGGGCAGCACAAAGCAGCGGCUGUCACACGCACACGAGCAGCAACUCGGGAGGAUGAGGAGGAGCCGCCCCCGAGCCCCCCCCGCAACUGGACGUGGCACAACGAACACUCCUCCCGCUCCGGGCCCCCCGUGCCGCCCCCGGCAGGUACCGGCCCCCUCCUGCGCGGGGCGGCCGCGGAGCCUCGGCCGCACAGAUCGCUCAGGAGAAGAUCAUUUCCUUUGCCCUCACCCUGAAGAACAGUUUAAUUUACCUUAGGAGUUUCCCAGCAGACCACAGGGAGCCCUACAGAGGGUCAGGGCUUGAGGUCAGUUGCCUUUGCAGCCCCCCCUUAAGGGCCCCCACCAGCACAGCUGUAGCUGGCAUGCCUCCCCUUGCCAGCUGCUUCAGAGCUCCUGUGAAAGCCUUGG
ensembl:lncRNA